rnacentral:rRNA from 1 species
GACAGAGGGUGCAAACGUUGUUCGGAAUUACUGGGCGUAAAGCGUGUGUAGGCGGCUAUGUAAGUCGGAUGUGAAAGCCCUGGGCUCAACCCAGGAAGUGCACUCGAUACUGCGUAGCUUGAGUACCGGAGAGGUUGGUGGAAUUCUCGGUGUAGAGGUGAAAUUCGUAGAUAUCGAGAGGAACACCGGUGGCGAAGGCGGCCAACUGGACGAGUACUGACGCUGAGACCCGAAAGCGUGGGGAGCAAACAGG